CCAGAGGAAGUCAGCGGCCAAGGAGGGUGAACUGGAAGCAGUGAGAGAUCGGCGCUGCCCCUCAGCGCAAGUUCCCGAGAGUUUCUUUUUGGGCCAAUCUUGUGCACAUGGACCUGAGUGGCAAGAGCUCAUGCUACGGAGCUCAACAGAAGCAAAUGGUAACGGGGAGCUGCUCUGAGCAGAAGAGGUACAGAUACCUUGGGAUCUCACAGAGCCUGCUGCACAUAAAUAAAACUUACUUGCCUUAAUGAGAGCCUCAUUACUUUUAAUUGUACUUUUAAUUGUAAUGGUUCUUGGAUCUAUGCUUUUGCCUUCUUUGCUAGGAAGGAAUGCCUUCUCAAAAGAAUUCUUUGUAUUUUAGAAUUGCUACUUGUGUCAUGAUAUUCCUUCUGCACUAUCACUUGUAUUCUGAAAGAGAAUCUUCAGUGUUUAAGGUUUUUUAACACUUUGAAUUUCAAAUCCUCCUAGCUGAUUAUAUAGCUAAAUUUGCUUAUAGAGGCUUAGUGUACCAUUUCAAAAUAUAUCAACUUAAUUUUUUAUAGAUAUAUUUUCUUCAAACAGAAAAAUUUCA